GGACCAGUAGCGUAGCGGUUUAACGCGCAUGCCUGUCACGCAUGAGAUCGCGGGUUCAAAUCCCGUCUGGUCCG
rnacentral:tRNA from 1 species